UAAGACAGAGGGUGCAAACGUUGUUCGGAAUUACUGGGCGUAAAGCGCGUGUAGGCGGCUUGGCAAGUCGGGUGUGAAAGCCCCGGGCUCAACUUGGGAAGUGCACUCGAAACUGCUUGGCUUGAGUACUGGAGAGGGAAGCGGAAUUCUCGGUGUAGAGGUGAAAUUCGUAGAUAUCGAGAGGAACACCGGUGGCGAAGGCGGCUUCCUGGACAGUCACUGACGCUGAGACGCGAAAGCGUGGGGAGCAAACAG
rnacentral:rRNA from 1 species